rnacentral:piRNA from 1 species
GGGUAGGGAAUGCCUCAUUACUCACUGGGCCC